rnacentral:rRNA from 1 species
GGCGCGCAAAUUACCCAAUCCCGACACGGGGAGGUAGUGACAAUAAAUACUGAUACAGGGCUCUUUUGGGUCUUGUAAUUGGAAUGAGUACAAUUUAAAUCCCUUAACGAGGAACAAUUGGAGGGCAAGUCUGGUGCCAGCAGCCGCGGUAAUUCCAGCUCCAAUGGCGUAUAUUAAAGUUGUUGCAGUUAAAAAGCUCGUAGUUGAACCUUGGGCCUGGCUGGCCGGUCCGCCUCACCGCGUGCACUGGUCCGGCCGGGUCUUUCCUUCUGAGGAGCCGCAUGCCCUUCACUGGGUGUGUCGGGGAAUCAGGACUUUUACUUUGAAAAAAUUAGAGUGUUCAAAGCAGGCCUAUGCUCGAAUACAUUAGCAUGGAAUAAUAGAAUAGGACGUGUGGUUCUAUUUUGUUGGUUUCUAGGACCGCCGUAAUGAUUAAUAGGGAUAGUCGGGGGCAUCAGUAUUCAAUUGUCAGAGGUGAAAUUCUUGGAUUUAUUGAAGACUAACUACUGCGAAAGCAUUUGCCAAGGAUGUUUUCAUUAAUCAGUGAACGAAAGUUAGGGGAUCGAAGACGAUCAGAUACCGUCGUAGUCUUAACCAUAAACUAUGCCG